rnacentral:rRNA from 1 species
CUCUGGGUCCAACCUCCCACCCGUGUUUAUCGUACCUUGUUGCUUCGGCGGGCCCGCCUCACGGCCGCCGGGGGGCAUCCGCCCCCGGGCCCGCGCCCGCCGAAGACACACAAACGAACUCUUGUCUGAAGAUUGCAGUCUGAGUACUUGACUAAAUCAGUUAAAACUUUCAACAACGGAUCUCUUGGUUCCGGCAUCGAUGAAGAACGCAGCGAAAUGCGAUAAGUAAUGUGAAUUGCAGAAUUCAGUGAAUCAUCGAGUCUUUGAACGCACAUUGCGCCCCCUGGUAUUCCGGGGGGCAUGCCUGUCCGAGCGUCAUUGCUGCCCUCAAGCACGGCUUGUGUGUUGGGCUCUCGCCCCCCGCUUCCGGGGGGCGGGCCCGAAAGGCAGCGGCGGCACCGCGUCCGGUCCUCGAGCGUAUGGGGCUUCGUCACCCGCUCUGUAGGCCCGGCCGGCGCCCGCCGGCGAACACCAUCAAUCUUAACCAGGUUGACCUCGGAUCAGGUAGGGAUACCCGCUGAACUUAAGCAUAUCAAUA